rnacentral:lncRNA from 1 species
AAGGGCCCGCAGGGCCUCCAGUAGCAAAGCCACUGGCCCCGCGUCCCCGCGUCCCCCUGCGCCGCGCCCCGGGGCGCAGGCAGGGACCACGCGGCCGGCGUGGGGGCGGCGCCACCCGCAGCAGAAAGCCCCGGCGUGGACCGCGUGGCGUAGGAAAGCGCUCCCCUCGCCCCCAGCCGCAGAGGGCUUGGGCAGCAUCGGGCGCGGCCCCGGGAGAGUGCGUCCGCGGCGCCAGCGGCUGCAGGGUGACCUGUUUCGGGCGGGGACACUCACCAGAAGAACACGCGUGAGCAGAGGCUAGUCAAGUGAAGCAGUGGGAGUGGAAAAGGAGCAAAGAAAUCUGUAACUGGUUGUGAUUCCAUGAACUUUUUGAAAUCCCCUUGUAUUGGCUUCCUUCCCUCUUCUGUCUUACUUCUCUACUCCCUACAAGUGUUUUCUGGGAUCACCUCCAAAUAAACUACUUGCAAUCUAAUCCUGUCUCAAGUCUGCUGCUGUGGGAACCCAAACUAAGACACCUGCAAAAAAUAUCCUUCCAAUUACUGAAAAAUAUGUUCACUUGCACCCAUAAAAGUGUUUGCUAAUACCGUAGACCCUUGGCUGUACAAUAUGGUAGCAGUAUCCACAUGAGCAUUUUGGGACUUGAAAUGUGGCUGGUCCCAGUUGAGAUGUUCUGGAAGUAUAAAACACACUGACUUCAAAGACAGUGUCAAGAAAAAUGUGUUUAACGUCUCAUGAAUGAUUUUUUUUACAUGGAUUACAUGUUAAAAUGAUAAUAUUUGGACACAUUAGUUAAAAACAGAAAGUCAGCCCCCCAACAUUUCCAGGUAGAGAACCUAUCAAAGGAGACUGAAGUGAGAAGAAAAAUAGAGUCACAGAAGUGAAGAAAAUGUUUCAAGAAAGGAAAGCUGGAGCCCAUGCUUCUGAGAGGCUGGGAAAUUGAGGACAGAAGAGCAGCCACUGUAUUUAACAACGUGGGGACCUUUGGUGAAUUGAUCAAAUCAGUAUUUUAAAGAGAGGGAGACAGACCCUAAUUAAAAUAUAUUGAGGAGAGAAUGGAAUGUGAAGAUGUAAAGACAGAGGUUAUACACAACUUCUCUGAGAAAUGUUGCUGUGAGGAGAGAGAGAAAAUAUGUAAUUGUAGGAGAGAAAUCCUUGGGAAAGCAGUCCUCCACACCGUGGACUAUUCCAUAGCCAAUUUUAACAACAUAGGUGAUAGGGUUUGGCUCUGUGUCUCCAACCAAAUCUCAUCUCGAAUUGUGAUUGCCACAAUCCCCACAUGUUGAGGGAGAAACCCGAUGGGAGGUGAUUGGAUCGUGGAGGCAGUUGUUACCAUGAUAGUGAGUAUUUUAUAAAGGGCUCUUCCCCCUUCACUCCUUGCUCCCCUCUCUCCUGCCACAAUGUGAAGAAGGUCCUUUUUUCCCCACCUUCUGCCAUGACUGUAAGUUUCCUGAGGCCCCCUCAGCCAUGUGGAACUGUGAGUCAAUUAAAG